rnacentral:rRNA from 1 species
UACGGAGGGUGCAAGCGUUGCUCGGAAUUACUGGGCGUAAAGGGCGUGUAGGCGGUUUUGUAUGUCUGGCGUGAAAGCCCCGGGCUCACCUCGGGAAGUGCGUUGGAAACUGCAAGACUAGAGUCCCGGAGAGGAAGGUGGAAUUCCAGGUGUAGCGGUGAAAUGCGUAGAUAUCGGGAAGAACACCGGUGGCGAAGGCGGCCUUCUGGACGGUGACUGACGCUGAGACGCGAAAGCGUGGGGAGCAAACAGG